GGGCGAGUGGCGCAACGGGAGCGCACCUGCUUUGCACGCAGGGGGUUGUCGGUUCGAAUCCGAUCUCGUCCACCA
rnacentral:tRNA from 4 species